UACGGGGGGUGCGAGCGUUGUCCGGAUUUAUUGGGUUUAAAGGGUGCGUAGGUGGCUUGAUAAGUCAGUGGUGAAAUACAGCCGCUCAACGGUUGAGGUGCCAUUGAUACUGUCAAGCUUGAAAGAAUUGGAGGCUGCCGGAAUGGAUGGUGUAGCGGUGAAAUGCAUAGAUAUCAUCCAGAACACCGAUUGCGAAGGCAGGUGGCUACGAUUGAUUUGACACUGAGGCACGAAAGCAUGGGGAGCAAACAGG
rnacentral:rRNA from 1 species